CCUCCUCGGCCCUAGAGUCGCCCCGAAGCCCUCCCUCUGCUCUUUUUGGCUUGUUUGCUUUGAAUGGCUGGAAGGAGACAAGGUUGAGCUCAUCAAGAAGUACCAGCCAUGGAGAACUCGCCCCUGGUGAGAUCUCUCUAAGGACAUCUCAAUGUCACUGGUUCAUAAAGUUCUAUAGGGUAGGUUCAGGCGUUGGUUUAUUUAACCUGACAAACCCAUCUGGAAGCUGAGAAGGGCUCAAGCUGUAUCACAGAGGAGGGCAUGACGGGCUACUGGGGACCCUGGCGAAGGCCAGUGAAUGAGAAUACAAUGCAACAUUUUCUUCCAAGUCUAGCUAUAUUUGCUUCACUUUUGGUGAUGAUUCAAUCUUCUGUUGCCAGUCAGCUAAUUUCCAAAGCAUCAGUACAUUCACAUGCCACCUUUCCAGGUCGAAAUCCCAGAAAUGGAGAGGGAUGGGCUGCAAACAUGCAAAUAAGGAGAAGAACAAAGGCAGUGGAUUGGCUAAGAGGCUGCUGAUGUCAUACUGGUGCUUGGUUCCACAUGGAGAGAUACCUUUUCAUCCUCUUCUUCCUUGGGACGUUUAUCUCUGUGCACGCACAUGUGCAUGAAGGCUUUGUCUCCAAUGGAAAUGCAGACUCCUCCCAUCUUGGCUUGCUGGCAGUAGUCAAGUCUUUCAGGAGAAGGUGGGCUACUGUGCUUGCUGUCCAUCAUCAUGGAUAUUUUGACAUGGAUUGUAUUUAUUUAGCUUCAGUAUGCACAACAAAAGUCAUUCCCCACAGGCAGGAAAUACAUAUACUAGGAAAAAAGAUUCCAUUAAUCUAUGCAAGCUUCCAAGUUCUACAGAAUUCCUCAUCCUGUUAGGUGAGGAAGGGUGCUGUACAACAUGAAAGCUUGCACAGUUUGAUACAAUUUUUUUACAUCAGCCUUAGAAGUUGCUUGUGGAUUUUGUUUUCGCUUUGUCCUCUGGGACCUUGGUGGUCAUAAUGGCUCAUGAGAGAACAUAAGCAAAACAGUGUUCAUGGCUUGAUCUCUGAUUUUAAGGAUAUAGCUGUACUUCCAGAGGACAAGAGGUGUGUCAUCUUCAUUCUGGGAGGCGGCUUUAUUCCCUCUUCAUUUAAGAUGCAAGACAAAUGUACCAAUGAUCGUAUUUCUUCAAAGGAGACAAAGAGCAGCCCAGACACCUUGUAAUGACAGAAUCUUCCUGUUUGAAAAUGCAUGAUAAACGGGCCGGAGCCUCUUCGAAGCCCACAUGUCCUUAUUGAUAUGCAUGGGAUUUGGGACACAGAUCCACGGAUGCUCACAGAGGCCCUCGGAACGGUAGGAGGGUGCCCCCUUGCCAUUUUUAUGGGAGAUCUUAGGUUAAUGAAAUUAAAUGCCAAGCUCUUUGUUUAGAAGAUGAACCUAAGGUCAUCCCUGCCGGGGGUUGGAAAAGAAAUCCUUGACUGGAGGGGGCAGAUUGCAGAACCAUUGAUUUAGACCCCCGGUAGACAGCUGAAUAGCAAGCAUUGAACCAUGAAGGUAAAUUCUCAUAUUUCAUUGAAAGAAGGUUAGCUGGUGGCUUCUCAGCUUUCUGAGAUAAUCACUACCAAAUUCUACCCUGUUUUCCCCCCCUCUUUGCCUUCCUCCACCACCUCCUUUUGGGGGAAAGUAAAGCAGAAAAGCAAAGGGGAGGGCAAACGCUUUCUCCCUUUUCUGCACUUAAGAUGCUUUUACAAACCCUGUUUGAAGCUUCCGGGAAAUUGUCAGCUUUCCUCCACUCCGGCAGAACCCCUUUUGUGGGGCCGAGCACACAGCUGGUCGCGCAAGCCAGCUCACAACCAGUGAGAGGCUGUGGGCGUGCAAAAGGGAGUGUGGGGAACACUUACACAAGCAUCCUUCCAUGACUAUGCAUGGAACCAGAUACUGGCUAACAGUGACUGUGUCUGACUUGUAAUCCACAGAAGUUCACAUGGGAAGUUGAGCCUGAAAUAAAUCCCGUAGUCUCAAAGAGACCACAAUAUUUUUGCAUCCAUGUUUUCUUUUGUGCUGAAAGAGAUUGUGAAAGUUAGCUCUGUGUCACCAGAAGGAAAGAGACCAGGGAACAGCCAUAGUCUGUGCACUGAUCAUAGACUCCUCGCAGUCAUACCAAAGUACCCUACAGUACAUGUAGUUCCCUAGACUAGAUUCGGGGUAGAAGGCUGACCUGGACUGGAUAGGCUUAUUCUGUCUUCAUGCCUCAAAAACAUCCUCUCUCCCAGUUGAUCCAGGAAUUCCACUUAAUUUCCAGUACUGUGUGUAUAGGCUCAUUAUGAAACUGCAUGGACAGUUUUUCUUGGAUUGUACUAGCUGAGGAUGGAGGGGCUUCCUUUUUUGAAACCCUCUCCCAUGAACCAAAACUGCCCGAAUGCAGAAAACUAGCUUCUCAGGGAGAUUAGCUGACCUAGCCGAUUUCUCUGGGCGUGGUGUUCUUCUGUUCACCGACAAUAUGUAGAUUCACGCCUUGAAACCUGUCUUGGUAGCAGUGCUGGCACACAAGCUCUUGUGAAAUUAUGAACUAGCUUUUAAAAAUUCCUGUCCCCUCCCUGGUCACCUCAUCCCUGCAGUUUGUAUUGGCUAACAUACAAAUGCUGACCCGUUGAACCUCAGCAGAGAAAAUUAAGCCCUCUUAACUAUCAAUUGAUUAUAAAACCAUAAUAAUUGACGUUUAACAGCCCCAUUAAUGGCAAGAGGUUCAUCGCUUAGCUGUUAAAAGUCCUGGCACAUAUAUUUAAAAUAAUCAAUUAGUAUUUAUUUAAUAUACAAUAAUGUCUCUGUUACAUCUCAAUUAAAGGCCCGUUAGGAGGUCAUGUGGCAGAAAGGGGAAACAUAAGCCUUAGAUCCAUUUCUUGCUAUCUUUGGUGGAAAGGUGGGCAUUCCCUGGCUGCCUUAAUUUCUGAAUUUGAAGAGUUAAGAGAAAAGGGGAGAGGUCAAGAAUCUAUUGAUCAGCUGAUUUCUUCAACUCUACUUUUAAUUUCAAAAGUUACAGCAUCUUCUGGCAAAUUUUUUAAAACAGAUUUUUGCUGAGAAUUCAGUUGAGCUCAAACUACUUUGUUUUGUCUUCUUUUUCUCAUAUCUAAUCUAUAUAUAAGUGCAUUAGGAAGCAGCAGCCAACACUGCCCAGAGAAACACACAUAAACAACAAUGAAUAGCUGUGGAUGUUUGCUAGACAAUGGUACGUGUGAACACAGUGCAAGUACAGCACUGAAGCAGAAAAGUAGUUUAGCGCUACACCGUUAACAGUCAGGAUGUGGCUCCCUGUAAAUGUCAUGAUCUCCUAUCACCAAAUGACAGAAAAACAGGACCAGGAGGUAUAAAUGCUGUGUCUGAAAGAACCCUUAAUUAAUUUCUCCCUUCCAAUGAGGGAGAGCCAAUGUGUCAUAUUGGUUAAAUGUUGGACUGAGGCUUGGAUAAUGCAGAUUGUAUUCCCUUGUAAAUUUCUCAAAUUCUAUGAGUUUGGGCCAGCCAUUCUGUCUCUCAGCCUGAAAUGAGCUGUCACUGCUGACCAGAGGUCUAGAAUUACUGUUUUCUGACACCUCUCCAAAUCUAGAGUCAGCAGCUACACUCCUUCCUGCCUUUGAUCUCCACUGAUGGUUGACCACCAGACAAUCAAGGUGUCAGCCGGAGAGUCCAAUUUUGUGGGGGCAAUAAAUCCACUCCAUGUUUUAGUCUCAGCUUUUUACAGGUGCUCUCCAAGGCAAGGCACUUACUGUAUAUUGGGGAUUGGAUUCAGUACCAUAGAGUGUGCCUGCAACUGCAGACUAUAGACAACCUGUCACUAAAAGAGGGGGAAUUUCCUAAGAACUGAAUGUGUGUGAUUGUCACAGCAGGUCAUUUUCCUUUCUCAUAAUUUGACAGUUAGCAUCCUCUGUUUCACGACUGUUCGUGACAGAAGCCUUUCUUUGCAAACCUAAUCUCUUGGCCACAACGUAUUGCUUUAAUCACAUGUGUUUUUAGAUCUGAUAUGAUUUCCACUUUAAUGAUGGGUGAUCUGUAAUGUACAGUUGGACCCAUUGUAGUUUUGUGUGUGUCCCUGCAUCUAGGGACACACAUGACACCCUUGCCUCCUCUUGGAUAGCAGUCCUGACCGUUGGGUGAUGUUCCAGACCUGAUCUGACAAGGCUGGUUGUAUAUUUACAGUUGGCCAGAGCGAAGGCUUCAUCAAUCUUCUGACUUUGAAAGGGGACAGGCCUGUUCCCAUGAGCACUUGCUCUAGGAGAACGGCUGAACUGUGGCUUUCCAGCCAACCGGUUGUAAAUUUCCACCAUUUCAACAGGGCACCCCGC